rnacentral:sRNA from 1 species
AUGCUGGGCGCGCGGGCCUGGUUGGGCCGCGUCCUUCUGCUGCCCCGCGCCGGUGCAGGCCUCGCCGCGAGCCGCAGGUGUCCUGGAGUCUGGCCCAGGACCUGGCCCCACAGGAGUCCCAGCAGGGGUAGCUCCUCCCGGGACAAGGACCGAAGUGCGACGGUCAGUAGUUCAGUGCCCAUGCCUGCUGGAGGGAAGGGAAGCCAUCCUUCAUCUACACCCCAGAGGGUCCCCAACCGCCUGAUCCACGAGAAGUCACCAUACCUCCUACAACAUGCCUACAAUCCUGUGGACUGGUGAGCACCUCUCCUGGGGCCCUGCCUGGAAUCGCUGGGGUCCUGGGCCCCUCCCAGACCCCCUGGGCUACUGAGUGAUGCCCCACCCUGCUGGGUCUAGGUACCCCUGGGGACAGGAAGCCUUCGACAAGGCCAGGAAGGAAAACAAGCCGAUUUUCCUCUCAGUCGGGUACUCCACCUGCCACUGGUGCCACAUGAUGGAAGAGGAGUCCUUCCAGAAUGAGGAGAUCGGCCGCCUGCUCAGUGAGGACUUUGUGA